ensembl:lncRNA
ACGCUGGGUGUGAGAUCGAGGAUCGUGGAGAGGAGAGUAUGCUGUUAAAAUGUGCACUGGUUGGUGCUGAAAAAUGAAACUGUGUUGAGUGAGUGCUAGCUUCGGGAUGACAGAAGUCCGCGGGUUGGAAGCAGUUUUGUCCUCAGCCUGAAUAAAUCCUGAAGAGAGCAGACUGCACAUCGGCCCAUAUCACUACAUACUAUCACUGCGUGUAGAGAUCCUGGAGCCCAGGAAAGAGUUUUAAUGCAAAGCAUCAGAAAAAAAAAAACCGCUGCAGCAUCUCAUGUGAGAGAGGGGAGAGAAGAAAGGAGACUCGCGCAGUAACAUCUCAAAACACUCAAAUGGUUUGAGGGAAAAACGGCUGUGUGAAAGACAAGAAGCACGGGUGAACUGGACAGCAUUGUGGUGUGGCAGUUAAUGUGCUCCAUCCUAAAGGCGUCAUCUUCCUGGUCGGCAGUAAGAAAAUAGUUCUUGUGAUGAUGAUUUGAGUAUCUCUAAAAGAGGCUGGCAAACAGCUGCUGUUGCAUGUCUCAAACUUAGCUUUAGCAUUGCGGGACUGUGAGGAGGUUCUGAAUACCUGUAGUGCUGUUUGUAGCUGAAGCAAAGCUGAGGCUCUGCAGCUUUGUCCGGGGACUCUGUAACUGUUUGCAGUCAAUAGAGGAAACACAAGUUAGAAGUAAGUAUCUUUCAAUUGAACUGUGUUUCCUUCUCUGUUAAGCUCACUGCUCAGACUUCUAUUUCUGGUCUCUAGUUCUGCAAAUACGUAAAACCUGGACAAAGUGUCUGGCUCCUUAGCUGAGUUUUUUUCUUGACCCGUGUAGAAACGAAACUUUAUAGAGCUACUUCUUAUGAAGGAUGAACUAGGACUGCUAAUUCGUAUGCUUUACAUGCCUGUCAGCAGAGGGGCUGAGCUGUGACUUGAUUGUAGCUGGUGGGACUGUGCCUUGUGCUGACAGCCCAUGGGUGGAGGGUGGGGAAGAGCACUGAGUAAACUUGUGUGCAUGUUGUCUUCUGCUUGGGUAACGUACAGUGGAGCGGCUGCUCACCGUCUUGGGAGGCAAAUCGUGGUUGUAACAGCACUGCUGUGUGUUGUCUGAUGCUUGGGAGCCUCUUGCUAGCCUCUUGUUAAAAACCACUGGCAGAGGGUUGGAGACAGCCAGGUAAGACAGCAGUUAACACUGAAGAGCUGGAAUGGGAAG